rnacentral:misc_RNA from 1 species
GAUGAAGAACGUAGCAAAAUGCGAUAAGUAAUGUGAAUUGCAGAAUUCAGUGAAUCAUCGAAUCUUUGAACGCACAUUGCGCCCGCCAGUAUUCUGGCGGGCAUGCCUGUUCGAGCGUCAUUUCAACCCUCAAGCACAGCUUAGUGUUGGGACUCGCGUUAAUUCGCGUUCCCCAAAUUGAUUGGCGGUCACGUCGAGCUUCCAUAGCGUAGUAGUAAAACCCUCGUUACUGGUAAUCGUCGCGGCCACGCCGUUAAACCCCAACUUCUGAAUGUUGACCUCGGAUCAGGUAGGAAUACCCGCUGAACUUAAGCAUAUCAAUAAGCGGAGGA